CCCAUGUGGGGCUCACAGUCUUCAUCCCCAUUUUACAGAUGAGAUCACUGAGGCCCAGAGAAGUGAAGUGACUUGCCCAAAAUGACACAGCUCAUAAGUGGAGGGGGCGGGAUUAGAACCCAUGAUGUCUGACUCCCAAGCCCGUGCUCUGUCCACUGAGCCACGUUGCAUCCUUUCAUUCAUUCAUUCAGUUGUUUUUAUUGAGUGCUUACCGUGUGCAGAGCACUGAACUAAGCGCUUGGGAGAGUACAGUAUAACAAUACACAGAUUCGCUGCCCACAACAAGCUUACAGUCUAUCUCUUCUCGCCUACACCGUCUCGCUGCUGUUUCUCUGUUGGUGUUUGAUUCCCGGCCCCAGUCGUAGAAAUGGAUGCCAACAAGGGGCUUUCGCUGAUGGAGCUGAGCCCGCCCCACCCCUGGGAGGUACACCCGCGGACCCCUGAAACCCUGGCCUUCGGAGAGGUGCAGCUACCCGACCCCGAGGAGGCCCGCGGACGGGAGGCCGGACAUCCCCAUUUAGGAGGGGGAGACGGAGAAGCCGACGCUGUGGUACCUCGACCGGAGCGGCGUGCCGCUGACUGACGUCCGGGUGGUGUCAUUUGGGAUCCGGCAGCAGAUGACCGAGCCCACAAGGAUUUCCAGCCUUGGCCCGGCAGCUACGACUACUCGGUGGACUUCCUGGAUCGGUCCUUCCCGUCAGAGAGGCCCAGCCGGGACCACCCCUACGUCGAAGUGAGCAACGGCCCAGGCAGGAUGCCCCGUCCGGCUCGUGGUCAGGUGCUGCCACGGGCUUGAGCUCCCUCUCC
rnacentral:lncRNA from 1 species